rfam:Camelus ferus unplaced genomic scaffold scaffold1185, whole genome shotgun sequence.
GUGGUUAUAGUUCAGUGGUAGAGCACAUGCUUAGCAUGCAUGAGGUCCUGGAUUCAAUCCCCAGUACCUUCA